GUGCUUGCUUCAGCAGCAUAUAUACUAAAAUUGGAAGAAUACAGAGAAGAUUAGCAUGGCCCCUGCAUUCCAUAUUUUUACCCAGAAUUGAACCCACACACUUAU